GACAGAGGGUGCGAACGUUGCUCGGAAUUACUGGGCGUAAAGCGCACGUAGGCGGCUUUGUAAGUUAGAGGUGAAAGCCCGGGGCUCAACUCCGGAAUUGCCUUUAAGACUGCAUCGCUAGAAUUGUGGAGAGGUAAGUGGAAUUCCGAGUGUAGAGGUGAAAUUCGUAGAUAUUCGGAAGAACACCAGUGGCGAAGGCGACUUACUGGACACAUAUUGACGCUGAGGUGCGAAAGCGUGGGGAGCAAACAGG
rnacentral:rRNA from 1 species